GACGAACGCUGGCGGCGCGCCUAACACAUGCAAGUCGAACGGGAUUUUUAGGAGCUUGCUCCUGGCAAUCUAGUGGCGGACGGGUGAGUAACACGUGAGCAACCUGCCUUUCAGAGGGGGAUAACAUCCGGAAACGGAUGCUAAUACCGCAUAACAUCAUCGGAUGGCAUCAUCUGGUGAUCAAAGGAGCAAUCCGCUGAGAGAUGGGCUCGCGCCCGAUUAGAUAGUUGGUGGGGUAAUGGCCUACCAAGUCUGUGAUCGGUAGCCGGACUGAGAGGUUGAUCGGCCACAUUGGGACUGAGACACGGCCCAGACUCCUACGGGAGGCAGCAGUGGGGAAUAUUGCGCAAUGGGGGAAACCCUGACGCAGCAACGCCGCGUGAUUGAAGAAGGCCUUCGGGUUGUAAAGAUCUUUAAUCAGGGACGAAGGAAGUGACGGUACCUGAAGAAUAAGCUCCGGCUAACUACGUGCCAGCAGCCGCGGUAAGAC
rnacentral:rRNA from 1 species